UGGGGAAUAUUGCACAAUGGGCGCAAGCCUGAUGCAGCCAUGCCGCGUGUGUGAAGAAGGCCUUCGGGUUGUAAAGCACUUUCAGCGAGGAGGAAGGUGGUGAGCUUAAUACGCUCAUCAAUUGACGUUACUCGCAGAAGAAGCACGGGCUAACUCCGUGCCAGCAGCCGCGGUAAUACGGAGGGUGCAAGCGUUAAUCGGAAUUACUGGGCGUAAAGCGCACGCAGGCGGUUUGUUAAGUCAGAUGUGAAAUCCCCGGGCUCAACCUGGGAACUGCAUUUGAAACUGGCAAGCUAGAGUCUCGUAGAGGGGGGUAGAAUUCCAGGUGUAGCGGUGAAAUGCGUAGAGAUCUGGAGGAAUACCGGUGGCGAAGGCGGCCCCCUGGACGAAGACUGACGCUCAGGUGCGAAAGCGUGGGGCAGCAAACAGGAUUAGAUACCCUGGUAGUCCAGCGCUGUAAACGAUGUCGAUUUGGAGGUUGUGCCCUUGAGGCGUGGCUUCCGGAGCUAACGCGUUAAAUCGACCGCCUGGGGAGUACGGCCGCAAGGUUAAAACUCAAAUGAAUUGACGGGGUCAUAGCUGUUUCCU
rnacentral:rRNA from 1 species